rnacentral:lncRNA from 1 species
AUGAUCAGCACAGUUGAAAAAGAAAAAUCCAUGACCUCCUCACCCAUAGCAAUUACAGCCACACGUCAUGGCACAACAGAUGGAACCUUAAGUGCAACUGCAACCAUUUCUAUGCAAUCUGCUGUACCUUCAGUUGCAGAAGGGGAAACAGUAAAAUCAACCAGUAAAGCAUCUGAUGAUGACUCAUCUUCUGAGACAACUUCAGGGUCCUCUGUGGAUGGAUGGAGAGCAUCUGAAAAAACAAGGACAUCUACAGCCUCUUUACUGUACAGCACUGAAAAACCAACUGUUGCCCCUGAUACAGGACAUACAGAUGAGGGAAUUCCAGGUGACCAAAAUCAGAGUAUGUUCACUGAGGGCGUAGUUACAACAGAUAAGGCAGAUCACAUAUCACCAACCUCACCUGGAACUUCCGCAGGAGACUUUGCAAAGUCACCAACAAGUGCUUCCUCUUCUCUCUAUAGCACAGUAAAACCAUCUGACACAGCACUCGAAGUCGUUAAUGAUACAGGCACUUCAAGUUAUCAAACUUCUGGUAUACUAACAACUUUAACAUUGAAGGCAGAACCGAUAACAUUUUCAGUUACCUCACCUGAACCUGCCACCGGGGAGACUGCAAUUCCAGUAUCACAUGCUGCUUCCAGUCUUUAUAGCACAAAUAAGCCAACUGUCACAUCAUCUCCUGAUGUUACUGGGAAGGAUAGGUUAGAUGAUUACACUGUGACAAAGCCUGUGACACAGACAGUUGCUCCUCUGCACAGUAUAAGAGACCAAACGUCCACAAAAACAUCACCUCCUCCCUACAGCACAGAUACAUUUUUAGUGACAAGUAACACAGAUGCUGUAGGGGAGGGGGGCUCUGGGGAUGAGAUAUCAGAUACCACAACUACAUCGUCUAAGACAUUGACAACUGAGAGGGAAAAUACUGUAGCCACUUCAGUCUUACCUCAGUUCAGCACAGAGAAACCCACCACAAUGACCCCAGAGGAUGGAACUCAAAUGAGUGAGAUAACCACAGUGGUAGUCAAAGAAUCAUUGUCAGAAACAGUUUCAACCCCUACCGAUGGUGCAAUGUCAACCCCAGCACAUGGAGAAAGCACAAGGGAUCACCACAUCGCCUCUAUAUCUACAAAGGAAUCAAUUUCUACAUCAACAGUGUCUUCUCUACAAAGCACUUCAAAGCCUGAUGUGAUGGUUCAGUUUGUUACCACUUAUUUACCAGAACCUGAUACAACACUAUCUGAGGUGUCUUUCCAACAGGCCAGGUCUGAGAUCACGUUCACUCAACAUCCCCACAUUGAAAUCUCCUCUGAGAAAACUGUGUUGGCCACAACAAGCCCAAUGUUACCCAGUGAGGAGUCAAGCCAGCACUUUGAAUCUAGUGAUGUGAUUUCCCACACUGGAGUUACAACCAUGUCACUGAAAGAUAAGACAGCUGAAGCACAAAGCCAAGCCCCUAUAACCAAAGAAGUUUUAACUGAUGCUGAAGGUAGCACAGUCGAAGAUAGUAAAACAUCUACCAAUGCUGCAAUAACGUCCAAUCCUACAGAUGAAACCGUAUAUUCUAAAGGAACAGAGCCUGCUGGGGUUGAAUAUACAACUCCCAAACAUACAACUGAUAGAUCUGCAAAACCUGAAGAAGAAACUGCAGUUGUUGAGGCUGCAUCUUCUACAGACUCAAGCUCAGUGGAAACAUCUGCAGAGAGUUCAAGUGAACAAACUCUAGAGGCAACAGCUUCUUCACUUUCAAUGCAAACAAAAAAGAUUCCAUCCCUAAUUGUGUCUUCACUGUUCAGCACUGAGACUCCAUCGGUUGCUUCCAUUUCAGAUGUUACUGAUCAAGUGGCUUCUCAAGAGCCAUCAACAACAUCACCCAAAAUGGUGACAGGAGAGAGAGAACAGACUGCCACUUCCCCUUCUGCAUUUCAUAAAUCAACUGAAGUGUCACUUGAGACCGACACUUCAACAGAUAAAGAAGGUUCAAGUUAUGAAAACACAUCAUUGGAGAGUGAGGAGAUCACUGUAUCAACAGAAACAAGUAUUAGCAUUUUAACAGAAGAAGUAAGUUCAGGUGACUCAGACUCCGUCACUCCAGCUGUUUCAUCCCUGUCCAGUACUCUUGAGUUGGAUAUAAUCACCAGCACUUUAUCACAUGAGAUGGUAAAUACCAAAACAGAUAAACCAGAAUCAUCUACAUAUGAGCAAACCUCAGGUCAGAAGUCACCUGAGACCUCCAUCACUGAAGCUUAUGCAACACAAUACCCUGCUGUGACCGGCACUGAAGAGUCACCAAAGAAUUCAACUUCUCUUGAGUCAGGAUCAACAGGUUCCAAAAGCAAGGAGGCACAAUAUGCAGACCUAACAGGCACACCACCCUCUGGUUCUACUAAUGAUGCCGAAAUCUCUACCAGCUCAGAUACUAAAGUAGUGGUCACCACAAUGCCAGCUGAACGCAUUUCCUUUGAACCUACUUCAAAUGUUCCUUCAGCAUCAUCACCAUCACAACCUGAUGUUUUGGUCCAAUAUGUCACAACAGUUUCCCCUGUUCAACACCUAACAACUCCCCAGAGUUCAUUUGAACAUGCCAGGUCAGAGGUUGCAAUAACACAGCGCCCUCACACUGAUCUUUCUUCUCAGGAUAUAUUACUGACCACAACUCGCCCUAUGUUUACAAGUCAUGAAGCAGGCCAGAUUACAGAAUCAAAAACUGUGCCCACUGCCUCUUCUUCAGUGGCUGAAACUAUAUCCGCUUCGGUGGAAGAUGGGACAAUUGAAUCUGUUGUUUUAAGUGGUGCAAAGACUGAACCAUCCGCAGAUACAGAUGUCCAAAUAAGACCUGUAGAAGAGAAUAUAUAUGAUGGCAAUAUAUUUUACCCGAUCCCAGAUUAUGAAUCCCCAAACCUAAGCAUUGUUGAAUUAGCUCCACAAAACAAUGAAACUAAAAUACCAAAACAUGUAUCAAUGUUCAUUACUUCACCACCUGUUAUUUCCCAAACAUCUGAGAGUCAGUCUGUUAGCAGUACUGAAAGUAGAUCAGGAGAAAAUGCAACCAACUCUCCUGUAGUAGUAGCCACAGCUAUCACUUUCUUGCCUUCUGCCUCAGCUCCCACCAGUGCAGCAUCCUCUAGUUCUGAGAGUGGUUCAGAAAGCACCAGCAGCUCAGAAGAAAGCAUGUCCACAGCAAGCACUGUUAAGAAGGAUAGUGAUGAGGUUGAGAAUAUCAGCUCUCAGCUUCUAUCUGUCCACGACUAA